rnacentral:rRNA from 1 species
UUGUCAUUAGUUGCUACAUUCAGUUGGGCACUCUAAUGAGACUGCCGGUGACAAACCGGAGGAAGGUGGGGAUGGACGUCAAGUCCUCAUGGCCCUUAUACGGUGGGGCUACGACACGUCAUACAAUGGAUGGUACAAAGGGUCGACCAACCCGCGAGGGGGAGCCGAAUCCCAUAAAGCCAUUCGUAGUCCGGAUCGCAGUCUGCAACUCGACUGCGUGAAGUCGGAAUCGCUAGUAAUCGUGGAUCAGAAUGUCACGGUGAAUACGUUCCCGGGUCUU